rnacentral:lncRNA from 1 species
CGUCGGAAAAGUUAUGGAUUCAACUCUCACGGUUGAGGCCUGCUCUGAUUCUUGUGAGCCUCUGAAACGUAACUUACCUAAGAUUUAGACUUGCUCUGAUUCUUAUGAGCCUCCGGAAUGUAACUUACCUAAGUUUUAGAAAAUGCCAUCACUGUUAGAGAUAGUUAGUAAAUAAUUAGUUUGUAUUACUUAAAUGUUAAACUGUAACUAACUUUGACUAGCUGGAAGUUAGUUACUCCUAUCUUUUAUAUAAAGAGAUCUUU